UAUUUGGUGAAUGAUUAUCACUUUUGGCGAGCUGACAGAAAAGUUAAAGGUGGUGAGGUAGCAGCUUAUCUCAGAUCAGACAUAGCCGGGGACAGAAAACUUGAGUUAGAAUUUGAAGAUACUGAAUCUAUCUGUAUCGAGGAAACGCAAAAAUGAGGUCUACCGUGGCUUUGUGUCUUACUAUUCUGCUUCUUUCUGUAGUUUCUACAAAUGCGCAAUGGGCUUAUGGAUAUCCAAGAUGGGGCGGAGGAUGGGGUCCGCGCUGGGGUCCACGCUGGGGACGAGGCAGGGGGUUAGCUUUUCUUGGAUCUGCAGCUCUUUUGAGAUAUGGCAGUCCUUUUGGACGUGCGAUUGGUGGCUUAGGCCUCCUAAGGCUGAUUGGAUAAUGUUGGCGA